rnacentral:miRNA from 1 species
UUCAUGAACUGGGUCUAGCUUGG